rnacentral:rRNA from 1 species
UACGUAGGGGGCAAGCGUUGUCCGGAUUUAUUGGGCGUAAAGAGCGUGUAGGCGGCCAGACAGGUCCGUUGUGAAAACUCGAGGCUCAACCUCGAGACGCCGAUGGAAACCGUCUGGCUAGAGUCCGGAAGAGGAGAGUGGAAUUCCUGGUGUAGCGGUGAAAUGCGUAGAGAUCGGGAGGAACACCAGAGGCGAAGGCGGCGACCUGGACAGGAACUGACACUAAACUACGAAAGCGUGGGGGAGCAAACAGG